AUUGAACGCUGGCGGCAUGCUUUACACAUGCAAGUCGAACGGUAACAGGCCGCAAGGUGCUGACGAGUGGCGAACGGGUGAGUAAUGCAUCGGAACGUGCCCAGUCGUGGGGGAUAACUACUCGAAAGAGUAGCUAAUACCGCAUACGAUCUAUGGAUGAAAGCGGGGGACCGUAAGGCCUCGCGCGAUUGGAGCGGCCGAUGUCAGAUUAGGUAGUCGGUGGGGUAAAGGCUCACCAAGCCAACGAUCUGUAGCUGGUCUGAGAGGACGACCAGCCACACUGGGACUAAGACACGGCCCAGACUCCUACGGGAGGCAGCAGUGGGGAAUUUUGGACAAUGGGCGCAAGCCUGAUCCAGCAAUGCCGCGUGCAGGAAGAAGGCCUUCGGGUUGUAAACUGCUUUUGUACGGAACGAAACGGCUCUGGUUAAUACCCGGGGCUAAUGACGGUACCGUAAGAAUAAGCACCGGCUAACUACGUG
rnacentral:rRNA from 1 species